GAUGAGCCAGAAUUGGCACCUUGUCUAUAAUAAGGUGCAAAAUGAUUUUAACUGAAGAGUUUGAUCAUGGCUCAGAUUGAACGCU
rnacentral:rRNA from 1 species